UUUCCCAUUGCAUCUGAUUUUAGCUUGAGGGAUUUUAUUAGUGGCCAUUGUAAUUGCUUUGUCCAUUUGAAUACCUUGUUGAAAUUCACAUGCAUCUAGAUAUUCAAUUUAGACAUUGAUGCAUUGAAUAUGUUUGAUAAUAUGCCUAAAUCAACUUUUUUUUUUUUUUUUUUUUAAAUUCUCUAUUGAAAGGUGUUCUACAAUAUACUGAUCUAUUUUUCAGCAAUUCCAGAGGUGAAAGAUGAUGUAAAAGUAUCAGUAAAACGUUUCAAUACUGUCUAGGUGCUAUCAACAAAAGUCUUAAUUUGAAUUCUAGAUCCAAUAUUAAUGAUAAAAUGACGAGACAUCAUCUGCAAACCAAGAUGAAUCUAUUCUAGGGACAGCAUUAAAACUUGCCAACAAUUCACUUCAACUGAAGAACUAAGGGGAAGGACGAGAAAGUACUCCGUAUUAUUUUAGAAACUAAAAUGAAUCUAGGGCCAUAAAUUUUACGUUGAUAUAAAAGCUUGAAUUUACUUUUUUUUUGAUGCUAAACAAGACUCUGAAAGAUAAGAUGUUGUUCUACCUGCAUGUAUCAUGAGUAGCCAAUUUUUGGGAACAAGUAAUCAUUGUCCUCACGAGUGCUCCGGACAACUUGGCGUUCCAAACAACCAGUAGAUGGCGAGCUAUGCCGAAGAGACAGUUAAAUUUAUGAAGCUUGCUUUAGAACAAGCAAAGGAUGCAUUAGUCAAUCUUGAAGUUCCAGUGGGUUGCGUCUUUGUUGAGGAUGGGGAAGUCAUUGCCUCAGGAAGAAAUCGAACGACUGAAACAAGAAAUGCUACAAGACAUGCAGAAAUGGAAGCAAUUGAUUUUCUAGUUGAACAGUGGCAGAAAAAUGGACUUUCACCUCUUGAAGUUUCUGAAAGAUUCUCAAAGUGCACUCUGUAUGUCACCUGUGAGCCAUGUAUAAUGUGUGCAGCAGCCUUGUCAUAUCUUGGAAUAAAGGAGGCAUAUUAUGGAUGCGGAAAUGAUAAAUUUGGAGGUUGUGGAUCUAUACUAUCACUGCAUACCAGCUGCUCUGAGCUUCCAACUAGUGAGUUAGCCUCAUCAAAAAAGGGUUUCAAAUGCACCGGUGGAAUAAUGGCUUCUGAAGCGGUCUCUCUUCUUCGGAGUUUCUAUGAGCAAGGAAAUCCAAAUGCACCAAAGCCUCACAGACCUCUAACGCAGCAAGUAUAGAAGUACAAGUGUCAGUGUCAGUGUCAGUUCUGGUAUGAGAGUGUUUAAAGUUUUUGAUUUUGGCAAUCGAAAAAGAGCGAUAGAGCAACUGGAAAAAAGAAUCUACACAUUUGAAGACAUUGUUUGUCAAAUCUAAUUCUUCAGGUGUUUGGAAAAAAUCCGUCUUGCUUCUUCAUUCCUUUAUCCUCUACUCAGAGCUUCAGCUGUGCUUGAUUCUAUCUCGAUUUACUUUGAUUUUUGUGAGUUUGCAUUGUAAGAUUAAUUUUACAUCUUAUGGAAUUGUUAUUAUGAACUUUUCAACAAUAUGUUUCAUGACAAAUUUGUUCAUAUAGAUGUAAUGAUGGAUUCCAAAUUAUGUGGAUUCCCUUUUUACCAAGAAAAGAAGAAACAACAACCCAA